rnacentral:rRNA from 1 species
CCCAAACCCAAUGUGAACGUUACCAAACUGUUGCCUCGGCGGGAUCUCUGCCCCGGGUGCGUCGCAGCCCCGGACCAAGGCGCCCGCCGGAGGACCAACCAAAACUCUUAUUGUAUACCCCCUCGCGGGUUUUUUACUAUCUGAGCCAUCUCGGCGCCCCUCGUGGGCGUUUCGAAAAUGAAUCAAAACUUUCAACAACGGAUCUCUUGGUUCUGGCAUCGAUGAAGAACGCAGCGAAAUGCGAUAAGUAAUGUGAAUUGCAGAAUUCAGUGAAUCAUCGAAUCUUUGAACGCACAUUGCGCCCGCCAGUAUUCUGGCGGGCAUGCCUGUCCGAGCGUCAUUUCAACCCUCGAACCCCUCCGGGGGGUCGGCGUUGGGGAUCGGCCCUUUACGGGGCCGGCCCCGAAAUACAGUGGCGGUCUCGCCGCAGCCUCUCCUGCGCAGUAGUUUGCACACUCGCAUCGGGAGCGCGGCGCGUCCACAGCCGUUAAACACCCCAAACUUCUGAAAUGUUGACCUCGGAUCAGGUAGGAAUACCCGCUGAACUUAAGCAUAUCAAUAAGCGGAGGAA